CCUUUUUUUCUUUCUCUGAAACCAAUUGAGAGAUUCCUUUGCUGUAUGCUUUGGAUCGUUGUCCUGCUGGAAGUUCCACCCACGUCUCAUCUUCAUCAUUCUGGUGAAUGGCAGCAGAUUAUUCUCAAGAAUCUCCUGAACCCCAACCUUGACAGUGUGGGGAAAAAGAACCACGCGAGAAGAAGAAGAAGGAGAAGGAGGGGGGCAAGACAGCAACAUAGAGAAAGACGGACUGGAAAGUCUUCUGGUUCGGGGGCCGCUGAGAAAGCUGUUCUGGACAUUAGGCCCAUCCAGCAAGAUCUGAGAGAUGUACAGCUCGACACGCUGGAUAUAAAAAGAACUGAAAAGCUGAUAUGGAAAAAUGAUUGUGUAGUGGAAGAGUGUGAUAGAAUACUGAGUACCUUAAAUCAAAUGACAGCUGAAGCUGAAAUGUUAAAAAAAAAAAAAAACGUGCUAAAUACAGGAGGACUGAAUACAUUAGGAAAUUAAGUCAGAAACAUGGGAGAAUAGCGAGACUCUCUAAUCUUGCUAGACAAAUAAAUGAAAUGGAAAGACUGAUAGAACGAUUAAAUCUGAAGAAAGCCCAGUAAAAACAUACAUCCUGUUUUUACUUCCUGUUUUUUACAGCCAGCGCUAAAAACACACACAGCUUUAAGGCGAGUACUCAAAAACCACAAUCCCCCCAACCUCUGUUUAUCUGUUACAGACCCAAAUAAGGGCAUGCCUCCUGUUUUCUACAUACAGCUUCAGAGUUUUCGCUCGUAAACGCAUCCGAACACCGUGGAGAAGGCGUUGCGGUUUUGAGCGAAAACUUAGACUCCAGCGCUUGAAACCACAAGCGAAAGGUGUAUAUAAGCUUCGACCAGACGAGUGUUCAGGGCCGCGCCUCGGGUGAAGGUUAUUCGUUUUAGUUUCUUGUGAAGGAAGAAAAACUAUCUGAUCCUGCGCGAUCAAAAAAGGGGAUAAUUUUAUGUCUCUUCUUAAAAGAAAACUAUUUUCAGACUCUGCAUAGUCGCUGGUUUUUUCUUUAUUUUAUUUUUCUUUAUAUUCUGAGUUAAUAUAAUUGUAAUCCUUAUUGUUCUUUAAUAAACCGAAGUCCGUUCAAAGGGACGAUUCGUAUAUCUUACUCCGUGAGUAAAAUUCCUUCGCUACACACACCUUCAGUGAAAGGGAAAGGAUCAUUGGUUCUCUAGCCCAGCGGCAUGAGUCUCCGCCUCUGAGAAGGUAUCUAACGCUACAGGUGAUGCUGACAUUGUGUCUAUUCCGGACAUCGUAGACGAAAUCAAGUUUCUGAACAAGGC